rnacentral:misc_RNA from 1 species
GUGAGUCAUCGAAUCUUUGAACGCACAUUGCGCCCUUUGGUAUUCCGAAGGGCAUGCCUGUUCGAGCGUCAUUAUCACCCCUCAAGCCCCCGGGCUUGGUGUUGGACGGCCUGGCGGGGACCUCUCGGUCGCCGCCCCUCCCAAAGACAAUGACGGCGGCUCGUUGGACCCCCGGUACACUGAGUUCUUUACGGGACACGUACCGGAUCAAGGGUGCGCGGGCGACGGUCUACCUCCCCCUCGCGGGAGAACUUUUCACAAGGUUGACCUCGGAUCAGGUAGGGAUACCCGCUGAACUUA